rnacentral:lncRNA from 1 species
AAGUCCAGCAAGUCCACCUCCAAUUUAGUGGAACCAAUAUAGUCAUUUAAUCUGAAAAACUUGAUCAAACAAUAUCAGUAGGAGCUUUGAAAGAGAAUAUAAUGUCAAAUAUCUUUACCAAACCCGUCUACAAAAUUCACCAGUGUGCACCCCAGAGAUUUCACCGAUCCAAUUUCAAGAACCUCAGUAUAUGACCUGAGAAAAAAUGUCUACAACUAAUUUUUCACAAAUUGCAGAUCACUUGAAAAUUUGAUUUUUUUUUCACCAAGGAUGAUUUUCAAUUGAUAAUUUUUUUUUUUCAAAAAUUGAAAAAUGCUUAGGAACCCCAAUGCAAGAUCUGAUACCAGUUUGUUGGGGAUUUACGAACCCAAAUAGUCAAAUACCAGUUUAUAUUGAAAUCGAUAUCACGAUUGCAGUGGCAUAAAAAGAUCAAUCAACAACAUAUAUCACGAGUAGAAAGUAAAAAAGCCAAGAAAUUAUUCACCCAGUUCAGCCAAGCCUAAUCUGAGGGGCUCAAAGGUGAAUGAGCCCAUCGCUAUGCAAAGAACCACCCAAGAGAGGGUUUAGAUAUGACUACAACAAUCUGACCGACACAAGAACUCAAGACUCGAUCAUCAAUCUCAAAGAUCUCACAACACCCAACACCUAAUCAACACAUAUGACCUAGAUAGGUGUAGUAUUGCCCUUAAAAGUUUAACACUGACCAAAGCAAGACCAAACAAGCCUCGAAAACCUCCGAUCACGGCUACUAGCAAUCCGCCACAAAUACCACAAGACUAAACGAUCUCACCAAAAUUGUUGAACAACAGUUUUAAUCUUUCUAUGUCCAAUUCCUUAUCAAGAAGCUACAAAGUCCAGCAGGUCCACCUCCAAUUUAGUGGAACCAAUAGAGUAAUUUAACCUGAAAAAACUUGAUCAAACAAUAUCAGUAGGCGCUUUGAAAGAGAAUAUAAUGUCAAAUAUCUUUACCAAACUCGUCUACAAAAUUCACCAGUGUGCACCCCGGAGAUUUCCCCGAUCCAAUUUCAAGAACCUCAGUAUAUGACCUGAGAAAAAAUGUCUACAACUAAUUUUUCACAAAUUGCAGAUCACUUGAAAAUUUGAUUUUUUUUCACCAAGGAUGAUUUUCAAUUGAUAAUUUUUUUUUUCAAAAAUUGAAAAAUGCUUAGGAACCCCAAUGCAAGAUCUGAUACCAGUUUGUUGGGGAUUUACGAACCCAAAUAGUCAAAUACCAGUUUAUAUUGAAAUCGAUAUCACGAUUGCAGUGGCAUAAAAAGAUCAAUCAACAACAUAUAUCACGAGUAGAAAGUAAAAAAGCCAAGAAAUUAUUCAACCAGUUCGGCCAAGCCUAAUCUGAGGGGCUCAAAGGUGAAUGAGCCCAUCGCUAUGCAAAGAACUGCCCAAGAGAGGGUUUAGAUAUGACUACAACAAUCUGACUGACACAAGAACUCAGGACUCGAUCAUCAAUCUCAAAGAUCUCACAACACCCAACACCUAAUCAACACAUAUGACCUAGAUAGGUGUAGUAUUGCCCUCAAAAGUUUAACACUGACCAAAGCAAGACCAAACAAGCCUCGAAAACCUCCGAUCACGACUACUAGCAAUCAGCCACAAAUACCACAGGACUAAACGAUCUCACCAAAAUUGUUGAACAACAGUUUUAAUCUUUCUAUAUCCAAUUCCUUAUCAAGAAGCUACAAAGUCCAGCAGGUCCACCUCCAAUUUAGUGGAACCAAUAUAGUAAUUUAACCUGAAAAACUUGAUCAAACAAUAUCAGUAGGCGCUUUGAAAGAGAAUAUAAUGUCAAAUAUCUUUACCAAACCCGUCUACAAAAUUCACUAGUGUGCACCCCAGAGAUUUCACCGAUCCAAUUUCAAGAACCUCAGUAUAUGACCUGAGAAAAAAAUGUCUACAACUAAUUUUUCACAAAUUGCAGAUCACUUGAAAAUUUGAUUUUUUUUUUCACCAAGGAUGAUUUUCAAUUGAUAAUUUUUUUUUUCAAAAAUUGAAAAAUGCUUAGGAACCCCAAUGCAAGAUCUGAUACCAGUUUGUUGGGGAUUUACGAACCCAAAUAGUCAAAUACCAGUUUAUAUUGAAAUCGAUAUCACGAUUGCAGUGGCAUAAAAAGAUCAAUCAACAACAUAUAUCACGAGUAGAAAGUAAAAAAGCCAAGGAAUUAUUCACCCAAUUCGGCCAAGCCUAAUCUGAGGGGCUCAAAGGUGAAUCGAGCCCAUCACUAUGCAAAGAACCACCCAAGAGAGGGUUUAGAUAUGAGUACAACAAUCUAACCGACACAAGAACUCAAGACUCGAUCAUCAAUCUCAAAGAUCUCACAACACCCAACACCUAAUCAACACAUAUGACCUAGAUAGUGUAGUAUUGCCCUUAAAAGUUUAACACUGACCAAAGCAAGACCAAACAAGCCUCGAAAACCUCCGAUCACGGCUACUAGCAAUCACCCACAAAUACCACAAGACUAUAGACCACCCACCUGCCAAUAUCCUAUUUACAAUUCUAUACUAAUUACCUGCCAAAAUAUCAGAAAACUACAAGGGGAAAAACAAUUGCAAGAUCUCUGCAGUGACUUGAGAGAGAGAGAGAGCCCAGAAGAAGAAUGACCAAUUGAAGAAUC